rnacentral:rRNA from 1 species
UACGUAGGUGACCAGCGUUGUCCGGAUUUACUGGGCGUAAAGAGCGCGCAGGCGGUCGUUCAAGUCGAGUGUGAAAGCCCCCGGCUCAACUGGGGAGGGUCAUUCGAUACUGAUCGACUUGAAGGCAGGAGAGGGAAGCGGAAUUCCCGGUGUAGUGGUGAAAUGCGUAGAUAUCAGGAGGAACACCAGUGGCGAAGGCGAGUCUCUGGGAUGAUGCUGACGCUGAGGCGCGAAAGCCAGGGGAGCAAACGGG